rnacentral:rRNA from 1 species
AUUGAACGCUGGCGGCAUGCCUUACACAUGCGAGUCGAACGGCAGCACGGGUGCUUGCACCUGGUGGCGAGUGGCGAACGGGUGAGUAAUACAUCGGAACAUGUCCUGUAGUGGGGGAUAGCCCGGCGAAAGCCGGAUUAAUACCGCAUACGAUCUACGGAUGAAAGCGGGGGCCCUUCGGGCCUCGCGCUAUAGGGUUGGCCGAUGGCUGAUUAGCUAGUUGGUGGGGUAAAGGCCUACCAAGGCGACGAUCAGUAGCUGGUCUGAGAGGACGACCAGCCACACUGGGACUGAGACACGGCCCAGACUCCUACGGGAGGCAGCAGUGGGGAAUUUUGGACAAUGGGCGAAAGCCUGAUCCAGCAAUGCCGCGUGUGUGAAGAAGGCCUUCGGGUUGUAAAGCACUUUUGUCCGGAAAGAAAUCCUUGGCCCUAAUACGGUCGGGGGAUGACGGUACCGGAAGAAUAAGCACCGGCUAACUACGUG